UACGUAGGGGGCAAGCGUUGUCCGGAAUCAUUGGGCGUAAAGAGCGCGUAGGCGGCCCUGUAAGUCCGCUGUGAAAGUCAAGGGCUCAACCCUUGGAUGCCGGUGGAUACUGCAGGGCUAGAGUCCGGAAGAGGCGGGUGGAAUUCCACGUGUAGCAGUGAAAUGCGUAGAGAUGUGGAGGAACACCGAUGGCGAAGGCAGCCCCCUGGGUUAACACUGACGCUCAGGCACGAAAGCGUGGGGAGCAAACAGG
rnacentral:rRNA from 1 species